CGCUUGCCCUCCCCUCUUUUCACAGUUCCUAUAAAAGUGGAGACAGGGCUAGCAGCCAAAGAUAUUUAUAGAGCUGCCUUGUGCGGGUGGUGGUUUAUCCACCUUGUGGCUCUCCUCUCAGACAGAAGCUAUUGAGCUGAGUACCAGGGCUUCCCAUAAUCCCUAGCUCUUCAAGAACUUCUUGCCCUAACAAAGAUGUAAAAAAAAACUAAGAAGAUAGUCGUGUCCUUAUGUAUUCAGUAAGGGUUGCACACUUAAAGUUGCUGCUCAAAGACACUGAAUCACAACGUUGGACCCCCUGAAGAGGAAACAUUCUUCUAAAACCGACAGGUUGAGAGCUAGGGUAUGAACUUUCUUCCAUGAAAGUGAGUCUCAUUUAGAAGGAUAAUAGAGAACUAGUUGCACUCAAUGGAAGAUGCUUAUCUGGACAGAAGUGUCCACCUGCAUUUGGUCAAUGGAACAGAUGUCCAGCAUAGAAGAUAGAUAUUUUUUUCCAUUCCUGGGCCCAAAUUUGACCAAAAGCCAAGAAGAAGGUUACCUUGGGAUCUGCUUCACCUUUCUGUUUCAUAAAGUCCCAGGAAUCGCUAGACAGAUCCAUAAUAUAUUUACUGUAUAAGAGCCUCUGACUUGGUGGUUGUUGACUCUACAAUGGAUCGUACGGAGAAAAUAAAUCCAACAGUAUCAUACUGAAGUCUGCAUCAUAAACACUAAGCAACCCCUGGCUUUUUACGUUACGGUCGAAUAAACAGAAAUUAAAGAUAAAGGAAGAUAUUUUUCCAAUACAUUUCUUAGGAUUAAAACAUAUAAAGCAGAUUCCAAGAAACCCCUCGUGAUUUGGAUAUGGCGAAUAACAAUGUUAUAACGCACUUCAAGCAGAAGAUGAGCGCAGGAUCAUCCUGCUGUCAAUUCCUGUUAAUACCACUGAUCCUGGCUUAUUAGGGGAAUGGAGAAAAAAAUCUACUUCUGAGGCAAGAGAAGAAAUUCUAAGGACCUUGACUGUGAAAAAAAAACAUGUCUCCUGUAAAUAUCGUAAUAAGCACUGGAUAUUACCAAGAGCCUCAUAAAUAUUAUAAAAAUGAUACACAUUACAAGAGCACAGUAAAUAUAUGUAAAUCGUCUGAAUUAUCAGGGGCUUAAAUAAUGUUAAAAAAUUAAUAAUGACCCAAAGCUCUGCGUUUUACAAAAAAAAAACCCUCAUAAUU